UAGCUGCUCCUCUGGGACUGGGGUGAUGCCCAGGGUGGUUGAUGACACCACAAAGGAUGAUGACCCCUGUGCCAGGUCUCUAGGGUGAUGAUGGUUUGGAGAGAGGCUGUGAUUAUAGACAGGCUAAUGGGAAACGGUUAAUAAGAUGAUGACCUCACAAUCCCAAAUCAUGACACAUUAAAGGAGGACCAUCAUGAAAAACAGGUUGUCAUCAACAGUAUUUGCUGUAGCCAUGAUCAAGCUUCAUGCAUGUGCAUUUUUUAUUAUGCUAAGAAGUACCAUGAUUUUCUUCAGAGUCCUGUGAACAGAUUUGGGUGUGGCUUUUCCAACAAGGACCAUAACAGGAGUGAAGAACAUCCCUCCAGCUAA
rnacentral:lncRNA from 1 species